AGUGAACGCUGGCGGUAGGCCUAACACAUGCAAGUCGAACGGCAGCACAGUAAGAGCUUGCUCUUACGGGUGGCGAGUGGCGGACGGGUGAGGAAUACAUCGGAAUCUACUUUUUCGUGGGGGAUAACGUAGGGAAACUUACGCUAAUACCGCAUACGACCUACGUGUGAAAGCAGGGGAUCUUCGGACCUUGCGCGAUUGAAUGAGCCGAUGUCGGAUUAGCUAGUUGGCGGGGUAAAGGCCCACCAAGGCGACGAUCCGUAGCUGGCCUGCGAGGAUGAUCAGCCACACUGGAACUGAGACACGGUCCAGACUCCUACGGGAGGCAGCAGUGGGGAAUAUUGGACAAUGGGCGCAAGCCUGAUCCAGCCAUACCGCGUGGGUGAAGAAGGCCUUCGGGUUGUAAAGCCCUUUUGUUGGGAAAGAAAAGCAGCAGGUUAAUACCCCGCUGUUCUGACGGUACCCAAAGAAUAAGCACCGGCUAACUUCGUG
rnacentral:rRNA from 1 species